rnacentral:rRNA from 1 species
GACGCUGGCGGUGUGCUUAACACAUGCAAGUGGUGCGACGAACCAGAGCUUGCUCUGGGGCAAAGCCGCGAACGGGUGAGUAACACGUGGGUAAUCUACCCCGAUGACCGGGACAACCCGAGGAAACUCGGGCUAAUACCGGAUGUGGUACGGAGACAUAAGUCUCUUUACUAAAGGUAGCUUCGGCUUCCGCAUUGGGAGGGGCCCGCGGCCCAUUAGCUAGUUGGUGGGGUCAAGGCCUACCAAGGCAACGAUGGGUAGCUGGUCUGAGAGGACGAUCAGCCACACUGGGACUGAGACACGGCCCAGACUCCUACGGGAGGCAGCAGUGGGGAAUCUUGCGCAAUGCGCGAAAGCGUGACGCAGCAACACCGCGUGAGGGAAGACGGCCUCAGGGUUGUAAACCUCUUUCAGAUGGGACGAAGGUGAUGCGGUGAAUAGCCGAUGUCAUUGACGGUACCGUCAGAAGAAGCUCCGGCUAACUACGUG